UCGACUCUGUCGAAUAAAGUUCUAGUUAAGUUAUGAUAAUGACAUUUCUUAACUAUGUGUCUUGACCAAAUCACGUGCCAGCAGUCGCGGUAAUACGUGGAAGACUAGUGUUAUUCAUCUUUAACAGGUUUAAAGGGUACCUAGACGGUAAAUCUAGCCCCAAAAGGGUACUAAUUUACUAGAGUUUAAUAAGAGAGGGGGAGUACUGAUGAGUGGAGAGAUGAAAUUUUAUGAUACCAUUAGGAACAGACAAAGGCGAAAGCGACCUUUUACAUAAAAACUGACGUUGAGGGACGAAGGCUUUAGUCGUGAACAGGAUUAGAUACCCAAGUAAUUAAAGCAGACAAUGAUGAAUGUCAUAGAUUAGUGAGUCAUAUUAAUCUAUAAAUGAAAGUGUAAGCAUUCCACCUCAAGAGUAAUGUGGCAACGCAGAAACUGAAAUCAUUAGACCGUUUCUGAAACCAGUAGUGAAGUAUGUUGUUUAAUUAGAUAAUCCGCAAAAGACCUCACCACAAUUUGAAUAUUAUUAAAUAUAAUACAAGCGUUGCACGGCUGUCUUCAGUUAAUGUCGUGAGAUUAGGUUAGUUCCAUUAAAUUAACGUAAACCCUUGCUUUAUUUAUAUUAUAAAGUAGAUCACCGCUAUAUUGGAAGUGAUAAUAGGGACUAAGACAAGUCAUCAUGGCCUGAAUAUUGUGGGCGAUAGACGUGCCACAUAAUCGGAGACAAAGGGAUGCGAAAUUGUGAAAUAUAGCUA
rnacentral:rRNA from 1 species